rnacentral:lncRNA from 1 species
GGGUGUUGAUGCUGAGGCUCGGGCCUUGGGGAAAAACCAUAGUGCCUAACAUUGCGAUAGUGAAUGUCAAAGGUCUGAUCCCGUCCCAUUCUCUGAAGGUAACCCUGAACUCUUGAUUGUAAUUUGCAUAAAAGGUUGCAUUCCCAAAUCUAACAUAGAGAUCCAUGAAAGAAACGCUAGAACCAUCGGCCCAGAAGGC